rnacentral:rRNA from 1 species
GACGUAGGGCGCGAGCGUUGUCCGGAUUUAUUGGGCGUAAAGAGCUCGUAGGCGGCUUGUUGCGUCGACCGUGAAAACCCGUGGCUUAACUGCGGGCUUGCGGUCGAUACGGGCGGGCUGGAGUUCGGUAGGGGAGACUGGAAUUCCUGGUGUAGCGGUGAAAUGCGCAGAUAUCAGGAGGAACACCGGUGGCGAAGGCGGGUCUCUGGGCCGAUAUUGACGCUGAGGAGCGAAAGCGUGGGGAGCAAACAGG